rnacentral:rRNA from 1 species
ACGAACGCUGGCGGCAGGCUUCACACAUGCCAGUCGAGCGCCUCGCAAGAGGAGCGGCCGACGGGUGAGUAACGCGUGGGAACGUACCCUUAUCUUCGGAAUAGCUCUGGGAAACUGGAAGUAAUACCGAAUGUGCCCUUAGGGGGAAAGAUUUAUCGGAUAAGGAUCGGCCCGCGUUGGAUUAGCUAGUUGGUGGGGUAAAGGCCUACCAAGGCGACGAUCCAUAGCUGGUCUGAGAGGAUGAUCAGCCACAUUGGGACUGAGACACGGCCCAAACUCCUACGGGAGGCAGCAGUGGGGAAUAUUGGACAAUGGGCGCAAGCCUGAUCCAGCCAUGCCGCGUGAGUGAUGAAGGCCUUAGGGUUGUAAAGCUCUUUCACCGGAGAAGAUAAUGACGGUAUCCGGAGAAGAAGCCCCGGCUAACUUCGUG